GAUGAACGCUGGCGGCGUGCCUAAUACAUGCAAGUCGAGCGAACGGACGAGAAGCUUGCUUCUCUGAUGUUAGCGGCGGACGGGUGAGUAACACGUGGAUAACCUACCUAUAAGACUGGGAUAACUUCGGGAAACCGGAGCUAAUACCGGAUAAUAUUUUGAACCGCAUGGUUCAAAAGUGAAAGACGGUCUUGCGGUCACUUAUAGAUGGAUCCGCGCUGCAUUAGCUAGUUGGUAAGGUAACGGCUUACCAAGGCAACGAUGCAUAGCCGACCUGAGAGGGUGAUCGGCCACACGGGAACUGAGACACGGUCCAGACUCCUACGGGAGGCAGCAGUAGGGAAUCUUCCGCAAUGGGCGAAAGCCUGACGGAGCAACGCCGCGUGAGUGAUGAAGGUCUUCGGAUCGUAAAACUCUGUUAUUAGGGAAGAACAUAUGUGUAAGUAACUGUGCACAUCUUGACGGUACCUAAUCAGAAAGCCACGGCUACCUACGUG
rnacentral:rRNA from 1 species